rnacentral:lncRNA from 1 species
UCUUGGAGUCAACAAGUGUACACAAAUGUUUUUCAACACAGUUAUUGAAAAUAGGAGACCAAGUUGAACGUGCCAAAGAGAUACCAUUCAGUUGGAUUUUCUAGGGUCAACAUGAAGAAAAUUAGAGAAGGGAUUUACUUGGUUGGUUUCCAUAGCUUGAUAGACCAAAAACAAAAAAACUGCCACAACAACGAACAGCAAAAUUUUUAUCCAUACGGGAAUGGAGCGUCCCUUUUUUGUCUUUUCUGACUUGACAUCUGCCAAGGGAACAUACUUAGGAACAUAUUUAGAUGAAAAAGACUCCUCCAUCCUGAAAUCACUGAGUUCUAAUGGCCGGCCUGCAGCCCCUUUGAUUGGUCUGCGGCAACUAGCACUAAUUCCUGUUGGUGUAGAUGCUUCAUAGGGGAACAUUUCCUUAAGAAUAUCCCUUUCUACUCUUCUUUCCUCUGUUUUUUCUCCCACUUCAGCUCUUGUCAAUGGUUUCUUUGGUGCUCUUCUGGGUAUGUCUGAGAAUUCAGUGAUUGGCAGAAUCAAGAUCUUCUACUCCUCUGCCAACAAUUUCUUCUUCAGCAGAAAAUACAAGGCAGAAUGGAAGUAAUGAUUCUGACAGAUACAGUGACAAUGAAGAAGACUCUAAAAUAGAGCUCAAGCUUGAGAAGAGAGAACCACUAAAGGGCAGAGCAAAGACUCCAGUAACACUCAAGCAAAGAAGAGUUGAGCACAAUCAGAUUGUCAAUAGGGUGACUGGAAAG